rnacentral:rRNA from 1 species
UACGUAGGGUGCGAGCGUUAAUCGGAAUUACUGGGCGUAAGCGUGCGCAGGCGGUGAUGUAAGACAGAUGUGAAAUCCCCGGGCUCAACCUGGGAACUGCAUUUGUGACUGCAUCGCUGGAGUGCGGCAGAGGGGGAUGGAAUUCCGCGUGUAGCAGUGAAAUGCGUAGAUAUGCGGAGGAACACCGAUGGCGAAGGCAAUCCCCUGGGCCUGCACUGACGCUCAUGCACGAAAGCGUGGGGAGC